rnacentral:misc_RNA from 1 species
AAGACUAUAGACCUGCGGAGUACCUGCGGAAGGAUCAUCGAAGAAUUAUUUCCAAUUAUAAAAAAGAGGAGGGAGGGGAAAAAGGGGGAGGAACUCUCUCUAUGGGGGGGGCCUUCCCACUCUCUUUCUUUCUCCUUUUUUAUAAACAAACAAACAAUCGCAACUAUAACUAUAAAAAGGAUAAUUUGGUUUGGUUUGAAUGAAUGAAUGAAUGAAUGUUUGUGAAGGAAAAAAGUGUUU